rnacentral:rRNA from 2 species
GACGUAGGGGACGAGCGUUGUCCGGAUUUAUUGGGCGUAAAGCGCGCGUAGGCGGCUUGGAAAGUCGGAUGUGAAAAUCCGGGGCUCAACCCCGGACCUGCAUCCGAUACUUCCAGGCUAGAGGUAGGUAGGGGAGAUCGGAAUUCCUGGUGUAGCGGUGAAAUGCGCAGAUAUCAGGAGGAACACCGGUGGCGAAGGCGGAUCUCUGGGCCUUACCUGACGCUGAGGCGCGAAAGCUAGGGGAGCGAACAGG